UACGUAGGGUGCGAGCGUUGUCCGGAAUUACUGGGCGUAAAGAGCUCGUAGGUGGUUUGUCGCGUUGUUCGUGAAAACUCACAGCUUAACUGUGGGCGUGCGGCGGAUACGGGCAGACUGGAGUACUGCAGGGGAGACUGGAAUUCCUGGUGUAGCGGUGGAAUGCGCAGAUAUCAGGAGGAACACCGGUGGCGAAGGCGGGGUCU
rnacentral:rRNA from 1 species